GCGCCCGUAGCUCAGUCGGAUAGAGCACUAGCCUUCUAAGCUUGUGGUCGGUGGUUCGAAUCCACCCGGGCGCGCCA
rnacentral:tRNA from 1 species